rnacentral:tRNA from 1 species
GUGAUCGAAGCUAAACGGAUAGGCACCCGGUUGUGGGCCGGGCAAUAGCGGGUUCGAUUCCCGUCGGUCACCCCA